rnacentral:rRNA from 1 species
AACGAACGCUGGCGGCAGGCUUAACACAUGCAAGUCGAACGGGUGUAGCAAUACAUCAGUGGCAGACGGGUGAGUAACACGUGGGAACCUUCCUAGGGGUACGGAACAACUCGGGGAAACUUGAGCUAAUACCGUAUACGUCCGUGAGGAGAAAGAUUUAUCGACCUUAGACGGGCCCGCGUCGGAUUAGCUAGUUGGUGGGGUAACGGCCUACCAAGGCGACGAUCCGUAGCUGAUCUUAGAGGAUGAUCAGCCACACUGGGACUGAGACACGGCCCAGACUCCUACGGGAGGCAGCAGUGGGGAAUCUUGGACAAUGGGCGCAAGCCUGAUCCAGCCAUGCCGCGUGAGUGAAGAAGGUCUUCGGAUUGUAAAGCUCUUUUACCAGGGACGAUAAUGACGGUACCUGGAGAAUAAGCCCCGGCAAACUUCGUGCCAGCCGCCGCGGUAAUAC